GCCCCGCCCACGCUACCACCCCCAGAGCUGCAGUGGGCUCCGUAGCAGGUCUCAGUAGGUGGUGCAGGGCAUCUUCUGGAUCUCUGGGAACACUGGGAGCCAGCAGGUGACGUUCCUGAGCGUGCGAAAGAUUUCUCCUGAGAAAUCCCCCUCCUCCAGGUUGUUCUUCGCAGCACGGCUUAAAGUUCAGGAAGUGAAGGGGAGGGAGAGACACAUCAAUGUGAGAAAGAAACAUUGAUCAGUUGCAUCUCCUCUGCACCCCAACCUGGGAAUGGACUGGUAACCCAGAACUAAAAAGGUGUCCCGUGAUGCCUGCUCCACUGAGUUUUUGAAGACUGUGUCCUGGAGGUUAUGAUUGAGAAACAAGACGGAAGAAACCUGUGUGAUUGCAUGGAGCGUCCUGGAACUCAGGGAAUUACACUGCAUUUAGUUCUCUUUGGUGUAGCAUCGUAUUAACUAAUCUGCUGCCACUGACUGCAACUGCAUGAGGAAUCCAAAGGCAGAACUACCCAGUGGAGCUCUUCCAGAAUUCCUGGCCCACUGAAAUCACAAGAGAUAAUAAAUUGAUUGUUGUUUGUUUUAAGCCAGUGAGCUUGGGGGUGAUUUGUUUUGCAGCAAUAGAUAACCAGAACAAUAGAUGAGGUGAUUUAAAUGCUAUGGAACUCUAAUGAGUAAGGAAAAAGCCCUAAAGCCCAUUGAAAGUCAUUAUAGCUAAUUACUAUGACAAACAAGGUGAAGUGGUGGUUUCCAGUCAGAGCUCAGUAUAAUAAUAUUAUUAUUACCAAUAAUAAAAGCAAAUAAUUGGUGAGGCCAAGGAAGAUUUUUUAAAAAUCUUGAUUCUGAAAGAACUUCACUUUAGUUAAUAUGAUAUUUUUAACUAUUAUGCCAUAUUCCUCACAGACCAUUUUUAUAAGUAAUUUUCUUUGAUUACUUUUUAUGUCUUUUCAUAUUACCAACACACUUCAACAGAUUUUUGGGCUGAUUCCUCACAUCACAGUGCAAAAGGCUACAGGCUGGGCAGUUUAGGGUCCCUGUGCAUGGGCGACUGUUUAGUGACCUCAGAACAGUCAGCCAUGUAACAUUUCUGUGAGGGAAAGUCCAGGACAUUUUUAGUUGAUGGAGGACCCAUAGCCAGUGGGGCCAUAGGUGUGGGCCGAACUAUAUGAUGGGAAACGUACAUCAGAGAUGUCUAAGCCUUCUCUGGCUCGUGCUUUUGGUAUUCUUCUUGUUCUUGUUGUAAAAUAUUGAAGAAAAUGAAUAAAAAUUCAGACCAAAGAAACCAAAUGUAGAAAAGUAACAUGGAACAUGUACAGGUGACUCUUGGACAACGUGGGUUUGAACUGCACAGGUCUACAUAUGCAUGGA